GCUUGGCCGUAAACCAAGGUAGCAUAAACACACCGCUACCCGCCAGAGAACUACAAGUGAAAAACUUAAAACUCCAAGGACUUGGCGGUGCCCCAUAUCAGCCUAGAGGAGCCUGUCCUGUAAUCGAUAAUCCACGCUCUACCCAACCGUCUUUUGCCAUCAGCCUAUAUACCGCCGUCGCCAACCCACCCUAUGAAAGAAGCACAGUGGGUAUAAUAGUUACUAACUAACACGUCAGGUCAAGGUGUAGCAUAUAAAACGGAAGAGAUGGGCUACAUUUUCUGCCACAGAAAACACGAACAGCUCAAUGAAACUUGCGCUAAAAGGCGGAUUUAGAAGUCAGAUAGACUAGUAUCUCUAUCUUAAACUCGCUCUGGGGCGCGCACACACCGCCCGUCACCCUCAUCACAAACAACAAAUAGCAAAAUAUAAACUACAUACUAAUUAGACGAGGCAAGUCGUAACACGGUAAG
rnacentral:rRNA from 1 species